CGGUACCACUAGGCUAAGAAAGGCCCAAUCCAGGCUGCCCGAAGUUGCGGAAAAAUAUUGCACACAGAGGGUCGCGUGUUGAUUGAACCGCUUCCUCCACAGUUAGGUCGCCCAAGGCACCCUAAACUUCCGCCGGAACUCCGUCCUUCGUCUCCCCCUCUUUCACAUCUGUGAUACCGCAAGCAAUGUCCUAGCGUACGGGUGGACUGGGGGUGCACUGCGGAUACUUAGUGCACUUUCAGGUGCACGUCUCCCAAUGUACACCUUCGGCGAUGGAGGUUCGAUGGUUUGGUGAGGGGUUCGUGAAAUUCUAUCUACUCAUACAUAUACUGGGCCACAUGCAGUGCAACGCAAUACAAACCGAGCUAGUGGAGAGGCUAGCUUGUCUACUACGGGAGUUGUAUUCUGCUACACUGUAGCUGUGUCGUCGGUGACGAAAAUUGAUGGCGCCUCGUGUCGGUUCCGCAGCGCUGAGUAGCUUAGCUGUGAUUUGGCGAAUUGGUAUAGUGGCUUCUUGAUUCUAAGAAAUCUCUUAGAAUGCAUCCCAACUUUCGCAGAGAACGUGCUUCUAUGCUUAGUUAGAGUACUUCCAAAGCAAUCAGUUUACCAAUUCUUCUUCGUCUUUCUGGCGUAAAGUUACAACGAUAGUCAUUGCCUAAGGGCUUUCUUUGGCAAUGACUAUUAUUCCGAUUGAGUGUCUAAAAUAUAGGACUUUCGAGAUGAGAAAAGAGACCGAAUAGUAUUAAACAAAAAAAACAAAGAGGAGAUCAAACAAGAAACAAUGAUACUCCGACCACAUAUUUCUCUAAGGGUACUUUGAGGAUUCUAUUAGUAGCUUUCCUCAGGUAUUACGAAAGGAAUUUGUUCAGGAGUUCAUCCAGCAAUUUUUUCCCAGAAUUACCUUGGACUUCCGCUGUGGGGAGAUCGCAGCAAGCCGUGCGCGCGAACAGACGUGUUUCACACCAACUGUCACGAUUUUUCUCCUUUCCGCGUUUAAUUUCAAUUCGACUGAUGAGUUUGCAAAUCAGCUGGUACAAAAACAAAUUUUCAAUUGAUUUGACUAAUACUUUUACAAUUAUAACCAACGCUGCACCAGUACUAUCUAGCUUUUUACGCUAACUUUGCUAUAAACUUUGAAUCACCCCUUUUUGAAGUCUCUUGUCUACACCAUAAUAUUUUUAUGGUUUAAUCUAAGCAAACUUUGCGUUGUUGAAAAUUUUUCAUAAUGAUGCAAAUGAACGUCAAAAAUUGAUCUUUUAUUUAUUCAAGUAACAAGAAUCUGAAAAUUUUAUUACGGAUUUUCUGGGCUUAAAGUGUAUUAAUGCUACUUUUGCCAUUUUAGGUUCAUGAUAAGCAGUCAUCAAAGGGACCGGUGCCUGGUAAUUCUUGAUGAGUUAUUUUGAGGACUUACGUGAAUGAGUGUUACGAACUUUUCAAUGAAUUUGGUGCCGAACGAUUUGUUCCAGGGACAAAUAAUCACGCCUUGGACGACCUUGAAAUGAAUUUCUGGAGUUUGGGAGAUUUUCUCGCUUGAAGAACAGUUUAAAUCAAGGCCUGAGUGGUUACUGACCAUUAUUGAAUACGGAGGAGUUUAAUUUUUUUUAUCACACCUCUUACUUGGAAAAUUGUGCCUAUUCUGCGCGGCGUGUGAGUCGAUACGACUCGCUCUCACCGCGAGUAAUGUGA